GUGAGGGUGGGUUGGUCACAUGAAUUCGGGUUUGGGGGAAGAGCAUUGAAAUUUUGGGCCUUCGGCCCAAGCAAGUAUCCACACUAUUUCCAUUAGCCACACACCUCCAGCUGGGCCUACACCCCCUAAUUCCAAGGCCCAAUUCCGAUCCUACAGAGUAGUAUUGCUGGAGUAGGUGGACGGUAGCUCGCUCAAGAUUAGCUGAAGAGUUUCUGUAUUUAGUUUGAUUUGGUAAUGAGUCAAUGCUCUGGUCAUGUAACACUGGGUAGAUUAGCGAUGUUGCACUCGUAUCUUAUUUUGAUAUGCUUUAUGUCAUAAAUCGUUUUAUUUAAUUUGAAGUAGUGACCAUGGUAUGGGACAUGGAUCAUUCUAUGAAAUACAUGAGUAUUCUUUAUUUUCCGCUGCGAACGCAUAUUGCUUGAAUAUUCAUGAUGAGUGAAAUGUGUUAUUUUGAAUGA